AGAACCUGCUGUUUUUCUGGUGGCUGAAUAACUGUGGUCCUGAGGAUGAAGCUUCAUAAGCCCUAUUGUAGAAGCCCGAAGCAGUAACCCUCAGCUGCAGCUCUGCAGAGAAGUGCUGCAGUGCUGCUGGAGGAGUGCCAGCUGAACGCCAGCUUACAGUGAUCUGCA